rnacentral:rRNA from 1 species
GCUCGAGUAUUAGUAGUUAUGAUCUUGAAACUUAAAGAAUUUGGCGGUAUUAUAGUCUAUUUAGAGGAAUCUGUUAUGUAAUCGAUAGUCCACGUUGAACCUUACUUAUAUUUUUUCUUGUAUACCGCUGUUUAUUGAAUAUACUUUUAGGUAAAAUUUUCUUAAUAUUUAAUUAAAUAGAAUUUCAAGUCAAGGUGCAGUAAUAUAUAAGUUGAAUAAUGGAUUACAAUAAGUUGUAUUUAUUACGGAUAUUUAUUUUAAUAUAAUUUGAAGGUGGAUUUAAAUGUAAUUUUAUAAAGAUUGUUAAAAUGAUUAUUAGCUCUAUAAUAUGCACACAUCGCCCGUCGCUCUCGUUAUUAAAAUGAGAUAAGUCGUAACAAAGUAGGUGUAUCGGAAGAUGUACCUAGAAAGUUUUAUUUU